rnacentral:lncRNA from 1 species
GCAAGGCACGAACAGUCUAAAGGGUCAAGGUAAAGCCAAGGUAAUUAGGAUAAUCGCAUGAUUAAGGUGAUUGGACUGUGAUUGGGCCUUGAUUAACAUUACCUUAAUACUGGACCCAUAUCCAGCACUAUAAAUACAUGUCAAGGACACUAGGUAAGUGGAUUCAUUUAUUGCGCAUUUACUUCUGAGCUCAUACACU